rnacentral:lncRNA from 1 species
UAUGUGUAAACAAACUGUAAAACUGAUCAUUACCAAACACUCUCCUAGGUCGCGAGUAUUGAAUAAAUUAACAAGUGAAAUAUUCUGCCGAGCAAAUCAAGGUAAUUAUUGAAGGAACUUGGGAGCUUGCCGUCUGAUGCUGCUGGAGUGGUUGUGGUCAUGAUAAACAAUUACAUUGAUUUGGUUUCGAUACAUUUACACACUUAUACAUUUAUGCUUCCGCUCAAUACUUUGGUUUUGGUUUAACUUUUCAAACGAUACAUUUCUUUCAAUUGGGUAUUUCAAUACAUUAUAACUUGCGUUUGAUAUGAUUGGUGGCCCUUUGUUGGAUCGUUGC